rnacentral:rRNA from 1 species
UACAUGGGGUGCAAACGUUGCUCGGAAUCAUUGGGCGUAAAGCGCGCGUAGGCGGUUACUUAAGUCGAAUGUGAAAGCCCUCGGCUUAACCGAGGAAGUGCAUCCGAAACUGAGUAGCUAGAGUACGAAAGAGGGUCGCGGAAUUCCCGGUGUAGAGGUGAAAUUCGUAGAUAUCGGGAGGAACACCGGUGGCGAAGGCGGCGACCUGGGUCGAGACUGACGCUGAGGUGCGAAAGCGUGGGGAGCAAACAGG